rnacentral:misc_RNA from 1 species
CAAUUAUGUUUCCUGUUUCAAAAUCCAAGAAAAAUCUUUCUCACAGUGUUCUCUCUCCUUAUCUCCUCACGUACACUACGCAGAUUUUUCUAGUCUUCGUUCUCAUCCACGCACGGGAGGAAAAUCUUCUCUGCGCUUCUAUCCACCACCGCUCAAUCGUUUGAUUUUUUUUUUCGCGCAAGCUUCUUACCUCCUGCGCGCAGAUUGCUUCUUCCUGCUGCACGGCAUGCCGGAGAAAGAUAUGUCUCUCAGAUUUUUUCUUCUCUACCGAUUGCUUUGCUCCUGGCGUGAUUUUUUUUCUCUGCGAUUGAUCUCAUCCCUGCACGGCUCUAGUGGAAAAAUCCCGCCGCCCCUGGGCGCUUCAAAAAUCCAGCCGACGCUCGCCCCUAUCUUCUUCCUCAGCCCAGCCGUCUUCCUGGGCAACCGCGUCUCCUUCUUCCUCCCCCUGCGUCCCUGUUCGGUUCCUGCGCACGCUGACUCCCUGCGUCGCGAGCUUCAGCUCGGAUUCCCCCUCCCAUGGCUGCCGAGCAGCUCGCCGGAAUUCCACGCUCGGUGCCUGGAUCUCCCUCCUCCCUGCAGCUCGCUCUCUCUCCCUAGCUCGCUCGCUCCUGGCCUUCCCCUGCCGGCGCGCCUGUUCCCUGGCCGAAGCCACCUGGUCCCAGGUCCGGUCGGCCGGCUCAGUUUUUCCCAGUGCCGCGCGUCGUGCUUCCCCUUCCAGCCGACCGAAGCUCCAGCUCCAGCCAGGCGCGUCCGGCUCCCUAGGCGCUUGACCAUCUGCUCGCCUGCUUUCCUGCCAGUGCUGCCCAGUGCCUCUCUGCUAGCCGCGCGCCCCUGUCUUAUUUCCCUGCGCACCGUCGUGUCCUCAGCUAGCCGGCUGCGACCCCUGCUCGGAUUUUCCCCUAUGGCCGGAACCUUUUUCCUGGCCGCAGCUCAGAUCUCCGGGGCCGCGAGCUCCCCUAAGCUCGCCAUGGCGAUUUCCACGGCUGGCAGCUGACCUUCCUGUGUCGCGUCCUGACUUUACCCAAUGCCCGGUCGAGCUCUCUGACCGCCGCGCCGUGAAUUUUCCUGCGCGCGUGUCUCCUUGCUCACGCGUCGCCGUCGAGUUCUCU